rnacentral:rRNA from 1 species
CAGCGCCACGAGUGGCGAUCAUGUUUAUUUGGCCUAAAGCGUCCGUAGCCGGACUAGUAAACCCUUGGGUAAAUUGGGCAGCUUAACUGUCCGAAUUCCGAGGGGACUGCUAGUCUUGGGACCGGGAGAGGUCAGAGGUACUCCAGGGGUAGGGGCUAAAUCCUGUAAUCCUUGGGGGACCACCAGUGGCGAAGGCGUCUGACUAGAACGGAUCCGACGGUAAGGGACGAAACCCUGGGGCGCAAACCGGAUUAGAUACCCGAGUAGUCC